GUGGUACAGUGGUAGGGCAGUUGACCUCUGAUCAAAAGAUUGCGGGUUCGAUUCCUGCC
rnacentral:tRNA from 1 species